UACGGGGGGAGCAAGCGUUGUUCGGAUUUACUGGGCGUAAAGGGCGCGUAGGCGGCCAGCACAAGUCAGUUGUGAAAUCUCCGGGCUUAACUCGGAAAGGUCAACUGAUACUGUGCGGCUAGAGUGCAGAAGGGGCAACUGGAAUUCUCGGUGUAGCGGUGAAAUGCGCAGAUAUCAGGAAGAACACCCGUGGCGAAGGCGGCUCUCUGGGACGGUACUGACGCUGAGACGCGAAAGCGUGGGGAGCGAACAGG
rnacentral:rRNA from 1 species